rnacentral:misc_RNA from 1 species
AAUUCUCAACUUUGCUUGUCUUUUUGUGUCGAGCGAAGCUUGGAUUUUGGAGUGUGCUGGCGAAGGUCGGCUCCUCUUUAAAUGCAUUAGCGGAAAGGUCAUAUCUGACUUUUGCGGUGAAUCGGCGUGAUAAUAACGUUGUUGCGUCGUUGACCCAAAAGCUCUCUGUCCGCUUACAAUGGUCUUCGGACGACUUAUUAUGAA